rnacentral:misc_RNA from 1 species
ACAAACUUGGUCAUUUAGAGGAAGUAAAAGUCGUAACAAGGUCUCCGUUGGUGAACCAGCGGAGGGAUCAUUACAGAGUAUUCUACUCACCAAACCCAUGUGAACUUACCUUUGUUGCUUCGGCGGGCAUCUGCCCGCCGGGGGUAUAACCAAACUCUUGAAUCUUCGUGAGAAUUCUGAAGUAAAAUGAUAAAUCAAUCAAAACUUUCAACAACGGAUCUCUUGGUUCUGGCAUCGAUGAAGAACGCAGC